UUGGUGGUUUUUGAUCAAAAGUUGUUGUUUUUGAUCAAACUUGCUGAUUUUGGUCAAAGUUGGUAGAAAAUGGUGGUUUUUGAUCAAAAGUUGUUGUUUUUGGUCAAACUUGCUGAUUUUGGUCAAAUUGGUAGAAAAUUGUGGUUUUUGAUCAAAAGUUGUUGUUUUUGGUCAAACUUGCUGAUUUUGGUCAAAGUUGGUAGAAAUUGGUGGUUUUUGAUCAAAAGUUGUUGUUUUUGAUCAAACUUGCUGAUUUUGGUCAAAGUUGGUAGAAAUUGGUGGUUUUUGAUCAAAAGUUGUUGUUUUUGGUCAAACUUGUUGAUUUUGGUCAAAGUUGGUAGAAAUUGGUGGUUUUUGAUCAAAAGUUGUUGUUUUUGGUCAAUAAUGAUGAUUUUGGUCAAAGUUGGUAGAAAUUGGUGGUUUUUGAUCAAAAGUUGUUGUUUUUGGUCAAACUUGUUGAUUUUGGUCAAAGUUGGUAGAAAUUGGUGGUUUUUGAUCAAAAGUUGUUGUUUUUGGUCAAACUUGCUGAUUUUGGUCAAAGUUGGUAGAAAUUGGUGGUUUUUGAUCAAAAGUUGUUGUUUUUGGUCAAACUUGCUGAUUUUGGUCAAAGUUGGUAGAAAAUGGUGGUUUUUGAUCAAAAGUUGUUGUUUUUGAUCAAACUUGUUGAUUUUGGUCAAAGUUGGUAGAAAUUGGUGGUUUUUGAUCAAAAGUUGUUGUUUUUGGUCAAACUUGUUGAUUUUGGUCAAAGUUGGUAGAAAAUGGUGGUUUUUUGAUCAAAAGUUGUUGUUUUUGGUCAAACUUGUUGAUUUUGGUCAAAGUUGGUAGAAAUUGGUGGUUUUUGAUCAAAAGUUGUUGUUUUUGAUCAAACUUGCUGAUUUUGGUCAAAGUUGGUAGAAAUUGGUGGUUUUUGAUCAAAAGUUGUUGUUUUUGAUCAAACUUGCUGAUUUUGGUCAAAGUUGGUAGAAAAUGGUGGUUUUUGAUCAAAAGUUGUUGUUUUUGAUCAAACUUGUUGAUUUUGGUCAAAGUUGGUAGAAAUUGGUGGUUUUUGAUCAAAAGUUGUUGUUUUUGGUCAAACUUGUUGAUUUUGGUCAAAGUUGGUAGAAAAUGGUGGUUUUUGAUCAAAAGUUGUUGUUUUUGGUCAAACUUGUUGAUUUUGGUCAAAGUUGGUAGAAAUUGGUGGUUUUUGAUCAAAAGUUGUUGUUUUUGGUCAAACUUGCUGAUUUUGGUCAAAGUUGGUAGAAA